rnacentral:rRNA from 1 species
CAGCAGCCGCGGUAAUACGAAGGGGGCUAGCGUUGCUCGGAAUUACUGGGCGUAAAGGGCGCGUAGGCGGAUGUUUAAGUCAGAGGUGAAAGCCCAGGGCUCAACCUUGGAACUGCCUUUGAUACUGGACAUCUUGAGUAUGGGAGAGGUGAGUGGAAUUUCCGGUGUAGCGGUGAAAUGCGUAGAUAUCGGAAGGAACACCUGUGGCGAAAGCGGCUCACUGGACAAUAACUGACGCUGAUGCAUGAAAGCUAGGGGAGCAAACAGGAUUAGAUACCCCUGUAGUCCCUGUCUCUUAUAC